UGGCCCGGUCAGGAAGAUGGCAUGCACAGGUCAGGCAUGCAGCAGCAGGAGACCAUUCAUCAGCCCAAUACGGGAGCUGCCAGGGGCAGCGCGCAGGAUGAGAGCCAGCUGCUAGCUCUGCUUCCAAGACCAGACUGAGAAGGCAACAAAGCCCAAACCACAAAGGAGAACAUGAAGCUGGAUUUGAAGAGGAGAAAGCAAAGAUUUCUACCCAGAGCUGAGGUGUUUUCAGUGUCCCACUGCCUAGAGCAUGUGACAGAGCCCCAUAGGAGGCACAGAAGGCCUUCGGAGGGACCCUCCUUGUCCCCACCGCUUCUUCUUCCUGCAGCCCUCGGCUUGGGCAUGGAGAGCUUGGAGCUUCUGGCCCCGCACACCUGCCUGGCCGGGCUGCAUUCUGCCUCCACAGUCCAUCCCAACACCCUGAUCUCCGAAGCCUGACUGCUGAGGGACUCCCUCUUCUACAAGCCACCCCUUGGGCUACUUAUCUUAUGGUAAUCAAGACUGAAAUUUCACAGGAAGUUCUCCAAAUGUGUGUCGACUAUGAAAGUAGCAUGUAUUUGAAUUCUGUGUGCAUAAUCACACACAUGCAUACAUGCACCCAUACAAGCGCAUGUACCAUCACCACUUCCUGCACCUGUGGGCUUCUGGGUUCACCUUAGGCCAUCUGCCUUAAGAUUUCUAACUAGGGACCUGGCAGUGAGAUGGAUGCAGUGAAACAGUGAGCUGUAGAUCAGAAAAUAAGUUUGAAACUUGGAAAUGGGUCCCAGUGCUCAGAGGUUUCCUCUGCAUGGGUCUUCAACUCAGAUGAGCUACACAACUACAGGGGCCUCACGUACACACUCCUCUCGGCCCCUCCAGCUUCGCGGGCAACUGGCCCCGGCUAAGUGGCUUAUCUGAAGAGUCAAAUCUUAUUUUCAUUUUGAAUUGACUCUUUCUCCCAAAACACUGCAGAAUGUGAAAGAUGCUGGGGAAAAAGUUGAGCCUUAUAAAUGUCAAAGCCAGUGAACGAAAUAGAGGAAGACAGGUGAGUGCAGAAAAGGACUGCGUCUGCGCUGCAGAGCGUGCACAGAGCUGCAAGAGCAGGUAUGGCCACAGGAGAGGGUCUGGGAGCAGUCAGCUGUACUGAGGCAUAACUCUGUUCCCAAAACCCAGUUUUCAGGCAGUGUGGCAUGAAGCUGGCAGGCGGAGAGAAGAGGGCUCUGAAUCUGGCACAGUUUGUAUUUCAUUAACACAGCUUAUCUCUUAUCAGGAGAACAACUGCUAGGUUUAAGAAUGCUGAGGACUGAUUAUUGAGGCAGGUGCCACAAGCCCAUAGUUCUGUGGGCUCCUAGAGACCUAAGAAAGUUCCUGCCACCCAGGGAGUGACAAAAGCUCUCUCAGUAACUGGGAUUGCAUUGCUAGAGUGAUCCGCAACACAUCAGUGAUGGAGUUGGAACAGUAUUUCUAUUAUCACAUACCAUGUACAUUGUGGGUUAAAUAGGCUUUGCAGAUGGCCAGAAGCUGUGAUCGUUGGCUAAAAAGAUGUUAUUCUAGGGCAAAACAUAUCUUUAAAUAACCAAAAUCUGACUUACAAAUCACCUUUCCUGUUGUAAGCUAGGGACUACCAUGUAAAUCACUGAUAUGCCUCCCAGGCAGGCCUUGUGCCACUGAGCUAUGUCCCUGGCCCAAGGGUUUCCUCUUCACUCAUUUUAAAAUCCAAUUCCCCUUUUGGGGUGUCUGCCUUCACACAGAAAGCAUGAAUCCUGGUCUCCACCUCCAUGCUGCCUGCUUUGCAAGGAAGGACAGUCUCCGCCGCAUGGAGAUCCCUGCAGAGAAGCUUUCAGUAUUGUCUGUGGGCCAGCGAGUCUAACUCUGGAUCCAGCAUUGGGAUGUACACUACUGCAGUGAUUGUUUGGCCUUUAUCACACUAUAGGGGUUUUUAAAAUAAGAAAGUAAUUGCCAAAAUAUAAGGUGGGACGAUGGCUUUGCAGCAACAUUAAUGGAAAGACUUAGGAGCUGAAGUGAGCUGAGCUAGAGGCCUGUGGUUAAAAAGUAACAUGAUAUCCAGGCUCAGGGGUGCGAACCUGUAAUCCUCGCAUUCAGGAGGCUGAGGCAGGAGGAUCACCCUGAGUUCAAGGACAGCUUGGACUACACAGGAAGACGCAAUCUCAAAAGCCAAAAAAGGAAAGUAACAUAAUUAAGGAGGGAGGGAGUGGAUGCAUGUCCCUCCUUACCCUAACUCUCUGAAUGACUCAUCAGUGCAGUGGUGUAUGCACCUGUACACUUGGCACCUGGGAGACUAAGAUGGAAGAAUCACUUGAUUCCAGGAGUUCAAGGUCUGCCUGGGCAACACUGUGGCACACACACACACACACACACAGACACACACACACACACAGGUAUGUACACACAUGCAUGCGCACCUAUGUACCCACAGGGGCACGCAUAUACAAAUUCAUACACAAAUCACCACCAACAAAACACUUACUGAAAGCAUAAUAAAACAUACACCAUAAAAAUAUAAGCAGAAUUAUUCUAGCUGUGAAAUUUAGGAUUAUAUUGGUCUUGUAUCAACAUAAAAGAAAAUCAAAGGUACAAACUAAAAACUAAGAAAUAAAAACAAGUUCCAGCUCCCAGAUAGAUCAACUCAUGCAAUGACAGACAGUGCUCCCCCUAAGCCUGGCCCAGGCCCCAGCCCCAGCCCCAGUCCCAGCCCGCCUCCCAUUCCUCCCUUGCAGCCAUCAGUGCCUCCACUGAUUAGUAUGGAACCCAGACUGGACUUCCCAGCGAUGCUUCAGUGACAGACACGGAAAACUUCAGGGCGCUGAGGGCCGAUCUCUGCACAUGGGCCAAGCAGGCCCCAGGUGAGUCCAGGAUAUAGUCAAGGUCAAGGCGGGCCAACCAGCUGCCCCUUCCCUGGGACAUGGGACCACUGUAGACCACAAACCUGAGGAAGACUGGGGAAGGAGAGAGAGAAAGGCAGAAACAGAGACAGAGAGGGGCAGAGAUAAAGACAGACAGACACAGAGACACAGAGACAAGGCGGUUUUGAAGGAGUACAACCAGCAUAGCAGGGGUCCAGCGUCUGCCAUGAGGAUGGCCAGCAAAGAUCUCAGGGCAAUGGAGGGGGAGGGGAUGUAGCCCUUACCUAUGAAUACUUAAAGGACCUUGUUUGUUUUCCCUGCAUUGCCACCAAAGGCUGGGAACUAGAGAGACCUAAAUUUCAGCCCAAGCUAAGAAAGUUUUUCUCCCUGCAGCUUAUCAGGACUUGGAAGACCUUGAUCUCAUCAAAUUCUAGAUACAGAAACUCAUAUUCCCCCAGCAAGGGCUGGGCCACCUCAGUGGGUUAGGCUAGAGCUGGGGCUUUACAGCAGGGCAGCAGCUGCUCCCUAACACCGUGGCCAUGGAGAGCACCUGGGCCAGGCCCCUCAGUGGCCAGCUCUGGGGUCUUCAGCCUUCCAAGUCGGCCUGCUUGGUCUCCGAAAGCCCCACCCCAGAGGAGAGCCUUCUUACAAAGAUAUCUCACUGAGAGCACAGUGAAGCUCCACUGGGCAGGGGCUCUGUAAGGAGGUCAGGCAUCGACAUGGGGACUCAGGCUCGGUGACCUUUACGGUCCCACUGCACCCCCAUUCCAGGUGUCUUUGAUUCCAAGGGCUCAAUGGUUAGUAAUGGACUAAUUACCAAAUUUGCAGAAUGAAGGAAAAGAAUUUUGUUUAAUCCAGGGGAACAAAUCCAUCAUAAAUCUUACCAAAUGGGUAAACACAACUGGGCAGGGACAUAGGAAUAGACCCAAGAAAACAAAAUGGCCCAGAGUUUUGCCACACUGUACAGUUCAUUAGCACAAUUCAACACACAGCAAUAAAAAGCAGUCACAGUAGAGGGCCUGGCUGCCGCCGCCCCAGGAGGCUAUCUGCUGAUUUCAGAAGGCGGGCAGUCAGGGGGAGACUCCUGCUGUAGAUAUGGUUGUCCAAGUUAAUUAUCCCUAUGCUUUCAGAUGAAGUGAAUGGUAUUCUGUUUAUCUAGGUCAAAUAUUUGCAGCUGACUCUAUCCCUUGACAGUCAUACAAAAGUACCUAAUGUUGUCCUUUUGGGCAUUAGAAGAAAAGAUCAGGUCAAAAAACCCACAAAAUACAGCACCCUUCUUUUAUAGGCAUCACAUAGUACUCUUAUUUCUAAGAUACUCUAAUUAGAACCAACUCUGAAUGAAAUAGUUUUUAAAGCGGGUGUUUUUUAGAAAGAUACAAAGAAAAGAAAUUUUAGUGGCCAAUUAUCCCUGUUUCUUGCUUUAUGUUAUGUUUUGUCUUGAGUUUAUAGGAUACAUUUCCACACAGAGAUAAUGAAAUCUGGCUUCUGGCCCCUGCAACCAUUCCUAAAACAAUAAAUACCGCCAUGCAGGGUUAACAGCAUGGUGUGAUCCAUCAUACAAGACCCGUAAAGUGCUGCUAGUGGUGACCAGAACAAAGAGAGACACCCGCAUGAAGAAACUUUAUAUGCCACAAUGUAUCUGGCACAGCUGAGGGUGAGCAUGUGACUUAAUCUAUAAAAUAAAAUCUUUAGGCGAGUAAGGUGCUUCUCAAUGGCAUGCACCAGAUGUCCUUUAAAGGUGGUCUCAUUUUAGGUCAAAAUGAGUUGGACCCCACUCGGGAGAGGCAGGGUAGAUGAACCUGUCUGGAAGCAAGUUAGGAUUACCAGGGACUCUGAUGAGGAGGGCAGGAGAGGAAUGAAGCCAUCAGGAAACUGCAGGAGCACUGAGCCUUUAGGGCAGGGGUGGCGAACCUACAGCACAAGUGCCACAACCAGCUGUUUGGCAUCAAUGAAAGAUCUGAAUGGCUUGCCAUGGCUGACUUAGAGCUCGGUACAAACUUCUCUUAGCCAACGUCCCUUUCUGCCACCUAUUCUGUACUAACUAGAGCCAGUGUAGCCAACUACGCAGACCACUUGCACGCACCAAUGAAUCAGAAUUCCCUGGUGACCAAGGCCCCCAGGUGAUGCUGUGCCCCGCAGAAGCUGGAGAAGCACUGGCCCAAGAGACGCUGAAGUCUCUGAGCUCUCAUUUUACACACAAAAAGUUGAGGCUCACAGUAGUCAGGUGACUUGCUCAAAGCUGCACCAUUAACUCUUAACAGCCAGAUGGCAAACAAACACUCCUUGAUGUUUCACCUGGAAAAACACAGUAGUGGUGAAGAACAGGGCCAGGAAGCCAGGAGAACUGGAUUUGGAAGCUCUCUGUGGAAGCUACGACAGUUAUAUUCCACGAGUAGUGUAACGUGAUGAUUCAAGCUUACAUAGAGAAAUGCCUGAAGUGCUGGCAAAAUGUGAUUUCCCGUAUUUCCCACCUUCUAGGUGCUCACAGGUGCUGGGAGAGGCCAGGUGCACACCAGCUCGGGGUAAGGGCUUGUCCCUCCGAGUCUUGUUGGGUGGAGAAUGCAGACUGCCACCACCUCCCUCAAGGGUGGAGCUCCAGGCUGCAUCCCGAGAGCUUUAGGGCUGUGGACCGUGGCUUAUAUAGAUCCCUUGAUGGCUCCAGCCCUGUUUUCUAACACGGCGACAUGCUCACUUUUGGCAGGUUAAUUGGCAGAGUUGUCAGCACAGCUGCCUUUUGUUGCCAAUAAACUUGGGUCCCUGA